UAACGCGUGGAUAAUCUACCUAUGAGAUGGGGAUAACUAUUAGAAAUAGUAGCUAAUACCGAAUAAGGUCAAUUAAGAUGUUAGUUGAUGAAAGGAAGCCUUUAAAGCUUCGCUUGUAGAUGAGUCUGCGUCUUAUUAGCUAGUUGGUGGGGUAAAGGCCUACCAAGGCUAUGAUAAGUAGCCGGCCUGAGAGGGUGAACGGUCACACUGGAACUGAGAUACGGUCCAGACUCCUACGGGAGGCAGCAGCUAAGAAUCUUCCGCAAUGGGCGAAAGCCUGACGGAGCGACACUGCGUGAAUGAUGAAGGUCGAAAGAUUGUAAAGUUCUUUUAUAAAUGAGGAAUAAGCUUUGUAGGAAAUGACAGAGUGAUGACGUUAAUUUAUGAAUAAGCCCCGGCUAAUUACGUGCCAGCAGCCGCGGUAAUACGUAAGGGGCAAGCGUUGUUCGGGAUUAUUGGGCGUAAAGGGUGAGUAGGCGGAUAUACAAGUCUAACGUAAAAUACCACAGCUCAACUGUGGAACUAUGUUGGAAACUGUAUAUCUAGAGUCUGAUAGGGGAAGUUAGAA
rnacentral:rRNA from 1 species